GACGAACGCUGGCGGCGUGCUUAACACAUGCAAGUCGAACGGAAAGGCCCUGCUUUUGUGGGGUGCUCGAGUGGCGAACGGGUGAGUAACACGUGAGUAACCUGCCCUUGACUUUGGGAUAACUUCAGGAAACUGGGGCUAAUAUCGGAUAGGAGCUCCUGCUGCAUGGUGGGGGUUGGAAAGUUUCGGCGGUUGGGGAUGGACUCGCGGCUUAUCAGCUUGUUGGUGGGGUAGUGGCUUACCCAGGCUUUGACGGGUAGCCGGCCUGAGAGGGUGACCGGCCACAUUGGGACUGAGAUACGGCCCAGACUCCUACGGGAGGCAGCAGUGGGGAAUAUUGCACAAUGGGCGGAAGCCUGAUGCAGCAACGCCGCGUGCGGGAUGACGGCCUUCGGGUUGUAAACCGCUUUCGCCUGUGACGAAGCGUGAGUGACGGUAAUGGGUAAAGAAGCACCGGCUAACUACGUGCCAGCAGCCGCGGUGAUACGUAGGGUGCGAGCGUUGUCCGGAUUUAUUGGGCGUAAAGGGCUCGUAGGUGGUUGAUCGCGUCGGAAGUGUAAUCUUGGGGCUUAACCCUGAGCGUGCUUUCGAUACGGGUUGACUUGAGGAAGGUAGGGGAGAAUGGAAUUCCUGGUGGAGCGGUGGAAUGCGCAGAUAUCAGGAGGAACACCAGUGGCGAAGGCGGUUCUCUGGGCCUUUCCUGACGCUGAGGAGCGAAAGCGUGGGGAGCGAACAGGCUUAGAUACCCUGGUAGUCCACGCUGUAAACGGUGGGUACUAGGUGUGGGGUCCAUUCCACGGGUUCCGUGCCGUAGCUAACGCUUUAAGUACCCCGCCUGGGGAGUACGGCCGCAAGGCUAAAACUCAAAGGAAUUGACGGGGCCCCGCACAAGCGGCGGAGCAUGCGGAUUAAUUCGAUGCAACGCGUAGAACCUUACCUGGGUUUGACAUGGAUCGGGAGUGCUCAGAGAUGGGUGUGCCUCUUUUGGGGUCGGUUCACAGGUGGUGCAUGCCUGUCGUCAGCUCGUGUCGUGAGAUGUUGGGUUAAGUCCCGCAACGAGCGCAACCCUUGUUCACUGUUGCCAGCACGUUAUGGUGGGGACUCAGUGGAGACCGCCGGGGUCAACUCGGAGGAAGGUGGGGAUGACGUCAAGUCAUCAUGCCCCUUAUGUCCAGGGCUUCACGCAUGCUACAAUGGCUGGUACAGAGAGUGGCGAGCCUGUGAGGGUGAGCGAAUCUCGGAAAGCCGGUCUCAGUUCGGAUUGGGGUCUGCAACUCGACCUCAUGAAGUCGGAGUCGCUAGUAAUCGCAGAUCAGCAACGCUGCGGUGAAUACGUUCCCGGG
rnacentral:rRNA from 1 species